GAAUGCGUCUGGUCAAAGCUCGUCCUUGUGGCGUGGCUGGACUGGCGUUUCCUAUCUUCCGCUAGUGGGGUCAAACUCACUUCGGAUCGUUUACUUUGAAAAAAUUAGAGUGUUCAAAGCAGGCGUAACCUUGCCAUUGAAUAUUAGAAGCAUGGGAUAAUAGAAUAUGACGUUGGUCUUAUUUUGUUGGUUUCUAAGGCUGAUGUA
rnacentral:rRNA from 1 species